rnacentral:tRNA from 1 species
GGGCCUGUAGCUCAGCUAGGAAGAGCGCCGGCGAGAAGACCCGGAUGCCCCGGGUUCAAAUCCCGGCAGGCCC